rnacentral:lncRNA from 10 species
UGAUUAUCCAUAGUUACAUAUUAUUCCCAUGGCUUUAUUCAAGAGAGAGUUUCAUUUUAUUCUAACUGUAAUGACAAAUUUGAGAGCCCCGGUAUAGUAAAGUGACCUUGUUCUUUGCAAAAAAGUAACAUGCAGCUAUGUUAAAAUUGAGCUCAAAUUCUCUAAGGUGAGAACAAAUAAUCACAACUUGUGCUUUUUUGUGACAUCUGAUAGUGUCACAAAAUACAUAAGUACCUUUCAUUUCUUGUUAUUUGUCCUCUAGAUUUGCUGAAAGAGUGAGACUUCAUGAAAAUGUUAAAAAUGUAAUAUGUAGAAUAUCUUGACAAUGUUCCUCACAGCUCUGUAAAAUCGGGCAACCUGUUCCCACUCUGGACCACCUCCCCACUAUCCUUGUGCAUUGCUGCUCCAAUCACACUGGACUCCUUGCUUGAUGUUAAACUUCCCAGACAUGUUCCUACCUGUGGAACUAUGCACUUCUUUCUCCUCUGUCAGUAAUGUUCUUCCCUUAAAUAUCCACUUGCUCUCUCUCCUUAUUUUGCUGAAGACUCCUAUAACCUCUGGUGACAGAUGUACUCUGGGCUGGCCUCAAAUACAUCACAGCCUUUUGUAAAACCCUCCUAUUGAGUGUGGGCACACCUGUGACUUGCAUCUAACUGAAAGAAUAUGGCAAAAGAGAUGGGAUAGUACUUCCGUGAUAAUGUUACCUUAUACGGCAAAGGUGAAAAGAAUUUUUCAGAUAUAAUUAAGUGCCCAAAUCAAUUUGACUUUAAAUUAAUAAAAAUGGAGAUUAUACUAGUGGGGCUAAUCUAAUCAGGUGACUCAUUUAAAAGAAUGCCUAGAUUUUUCCGGAGUUCAGAGACUGUAAACUACAGAGAAUCUUUUCUUCUGGCUGUGUAGAAGCAUCCUGCCCUGAGUUCCACAGUUGGGAGGAAAUGCAUUCUGCUAACAACUACAUGAGCUUGGAAGAGGAAACUGAGCCUCAGAUGAAACCAGCUCUGGCUGACUCCUUGACUGCAGCUUUGUAAGAUCCUGAGCACAGCACACAUUGAAGCUGAGGCUGGACAGUGGGUGUUGUUUUAAGCCACUAAGUUUGUGAUAAUUUGAUACCUAGCAGCAGAAAACUAAUACACCUCCCUUUUGCAAGAUGUAUCCCAUCUACCCUCUCUGUCCCUUUUCGCCACUUUGUUUUUCUUCAUAGCCCAUAUACCUUUCAUAUUUCAAAUAAUUUAAUAUGUGUGUGUGUUUUUAUUUUCUUUCCCCACUAUGGUAUAAGCUUCAUAAGUGCACCUAUUUUGGUUUCGUUUGUUUACUGUUCUGUCCGCACUGUUUAGAAGAGAACCUGGAGAAAGUAAUAAACACUUAAUAUGUAUUUGUUCAACAAAUGAAUAAUAAUAUUCUUCUGACUUCUUUGUUUUCUCUGUCACUCAACUGACUUCUGUGUUUCCAAGUUUCCCACAAAAGGAUUUUUUUUAUUUCUUCAAUUUUUAUCUUAAGAGGAACUUACCUCUCAGCAAAAGAGAAAAUUAUGUCAGUCAAUACCUUAACAAUGGAGGUUUACAAGCAAUCUCACUUCCCAAAGGACAGAAAAUAAGAAACAGGUUGUCAGAUUAAUUACAACCGAUGGCACAGAAUGCUUAUUAGAGAAAAAUCACCGUAAAUAAAUUCUACAGUUUUAAUAUUUUUUAGGCUUUUCCAAAAUCAACUGAAGAUAUAUAAAGUUUCUUUACACAUACAAUCCCCAACACACUAUGAUCAUUGAUCUAGAAAUAUCUAGAGUUUUAGAUUGGAAAGCAACUUUUGAGAGUUGUUUGGAACUCCCUUAGCUACUUUUAUUUGCUUCUAAUAAACACUCAUAUUCGUAGCCGGACUCAGGUCAGUUUGGUGGAGUAUUCUCACCUGGUUCCUCUGCCUGGGACACUGCUGGCACAGAGACUCAAGGCUGUUAAUACAAACUUUUGGAUUUUAAUCACUGAAUUUAAUUGGCUUCUAUCUUUGAACUUGGAGGAGGAAAUAGACAAACUCAUGAGAAGCCCUCUUGUGUCUUUCUCAGAGGUGUGUCUCAGAGAGAUUUGCUAAAUAUCUAUCGUGUCUCACAAUUGUCUUGACUCCUUGAAUGUGGAAAAGAGUACAUGCAAAUUAGAGGACCCUGGGCAGCCCUUUCAGAAAUCAAGUCUUCAGGACUAAGAAGCUUUUGUUUUUCCCUGAAAGCAUACCUUUGAAGAAGAAUGUUUUAACCAUACUUUGAGCAUGUGGCUUCUGUAUGUUCAGAAUACCUCCAUGACAUUGGGAAUGAGUGUGAGUAAUAUAUGAGACACACACAAAAGCAUUUCACAGAUGUGAAGAUCCAUCUCUAAUUUUCCUUUAAAUUGAUUGAUUCCUCUACAGGCCUUUCAUUCAUUUUUGCCUUUUUCUGUUUGCAAUUACUCUCAGAUUUCACUGAGGGUAGAACAAUUACAUAUUCCUGGACCUGUGCUUGUGGCUAGGAGUAGGAACCCUACAAGACAGUAGGGCUUUUGACAUGAUCCCUGAAUACAAGUCUACCCAAGUAAGCAAAGACUGACCCCAAUUUGGGGUGAGAAUUGGUCUUGCUAAUCUUUAAAAAUUUUCUAUUUUAAAAUUUCUAUUUUAAAAUUUAAAAAUAGCAUGCCUUCAAAUCAUUCCAACUAUAACUAUGGCAAUAUAUUCAUUUGUGAGAGGAAUGAUUCUUCUGCUUAUUUUAAUUAAGAAAAUUACGCCUAAGUGAUUUAUUUUAUUUAGCAAGACAAUGACAGUUACAAAAUUAUAAUUAAAAACUCUUGUGUGGAGAUGCCAGUCUUAGGUUUCCUCAAAGAAAUGUGUAAAAGAAACUGAUUACUUCUUUUGUAUAGCUAAAAAUAUAUUUGUUGAUAAAUCAAAUAUUGUUUUAAAACGUUAAUAUCCAUUUUGUUCCUUAUUAAUUUGAUUUUCUUUUUGUAUAUCAAGC